rnacentral:rRNA from 1 species
GUGCCAGCAGCCGCGGUAAUACAGAGGGUGCGAGCGUUGUUCGGAAUUAUUGGGCGUAAAGCGCGUGUAGGCGGCUACGUAAGUCGGGUGUGAAAGCCCUCAGCUUAACUGAGGAAGUGCGCCCGAAACUACGCAGCUUGAGUACCGGAGAGGAUGGCGGAAUUCCCGAAGUAGAGGUGAAAUUCGUAGAUAUCGGGAGGAACACCGGUGGCGAAGGCGGCCAUCUGGACGGAUACUGACGCUGAGACGCGAAAGCGUGGGUAGCAAACAGGAUUAGAAACCCGUGUAGUCC